rnacentral:lncRNA from 1 species
GUUCUUGUUUCACCAUUUUCUUCCAAACUUUCACUUUUCAUCUUAAGGGAAAGAGCUCAGAAUGUAAAAUUCGUCUCCAGGUAAGCACCAAUUUUCAUGGGUAAGAUUCAAGCUUCUUGAAAACUGAACAAUAUGGGUAUUUGAUACUCGAGUUUGAUUUGAUUUUUUGAGUUGGUUUUUUCUUAAACUGUUCAAGAACUUGAAAAAUGAAAAUUAUCGGUCUUUGAUGCUUGAAAACUAUUUUUUUCUUAAACAAUAUGAGAUUUGUUAUUUGCGUGUUUUUUAUUUUUGUUUUGUGUUUAAAUUGAGAUAAAAAUGUAAAUAUUGUAUUGAUAUGUUUUUCUAAAUCCAAAAAUUAGGGCUUCGAAUUGCAUUAUUCUCCCCUUAAGUUGUUUUGUUAUUGUUUUGUUUUUAAGAAUUUCCCCUUAAGCUGAACUGGUUACUUAGCAUCUCUAUCUGUAUGUAAUCGUUGGUGCUUUGAUUUCUAGCUUAGAGUGAAAGCAAGGUUAGCUUAAUUCUUUUAUUUUCUUUUCAAAUUUCGAUAAGUUUACUACUUGGUUUGUGUUUAGAUUUGUUUCAUGUUCCAGGCAUAUAUGACAUUUCAUCUUAUUUGACUAUGUAAUGUAACUACUGGUUAUAUUGCAAGACAUUUUUUUACCCAUAAUCGUGUUAGAUAUGCUAUGGCUGUUUAAAUCAUGAAUCAUAACUGAUGAAAAUGAGACGAAUAAUUGAUGCCUUUCUUGAUGUUCAGGUGAAUCAAUAUAACUAGCAUUAUGUGGAGUCGGGGAAACUGAUAACUGUAUUUAGUGCUUCAAACUACCCAUAAUUUUAGGUAUCUUCACGAUCUUUUAAUACUUUAUAUGUUCUCCCUCAAGAUUUAAAUGCCUAGUUUCUGCUUUGAUCUUGACAACAAAUAACAAAUAUGUACAUGUUUUGACUUAAGUUUCAUCCACAACAUCCUUUUAAAUAUUUUCUAUGGAUCUGUACCUAGAAUUUAUAUUACUGUUAUUUUUUUGUGGUUAUAUGGAUGUCUUUUGAUAUCAUUGAAGUGUUUUAGGAGGCUUGAAUACUUAUUAAUGUAUCUUUUGCCUUCCAUAUUAGAAGUAAAAAGUUGUUUUGUUUCUUAGACAUGGUUAGAAUAAAGUUAUGUGGUCUUGUUGAAAUGCAUCAAAACUCAAAAGGGUAUACAUAUCUUAAAUUUACAUAUACUUGAUAUUCCAAGGUUGAUUUGUGUUUUUUAUGCAUGCAAGUGAGGUAACUAUAUGUGAAGGUAGUGAAACUUGUUCAAGAUUCAGGUCUAGCAUAUAAAUAUAUCUAUCUAUUUUAUGUUGGUGUCAUAUAUAAAGGAAAACUAUGGAUAAGAUUCUAGUGGGAACAAGAACAAUAUAUUUGCUAUGGGGGUGUCAUAUUCUCCAUAUCUUGUAUCUAUUGGUAUUAUGACUAGUGAAGCAGAUUUUGGCAUUUUCCUUAGAACAGUCACUGCACUUUAUUUUUUAUUUAACUAAAAAGAUGUUUAACAAAGAAAAUUUAUCUUGCUCUUCAUAUUUCGUCUCUUUCUUAUGCAUACUAAUUUGAAAAUUGUUGCAAGUAUCUUUAUUUCAGGCAAUAUCCCUAACAAAUACUCCAUUAAACAUCUAUGAAACUUGAAAAAAUCAUGCUCAUGGUUUACGUCCUACUUUUGAGAUAAAGAAAAGUAGUCAUGCAAUUAAAAAAAUAAUGAUGUAAUGAAUCUAAAUUUAGAAAAAUAACUUUAAUAGUAAUAACAGUUGUAUUGGUAGAGUGGAUAAAUUGUUAGAAUUAAGAAGGUGGCAUGUAUUAAGCUUUUCUAAUACAAUUUAAAUUGGUCAAAUAAUAAUUAUAGUCCCUAUACUACCUUAGAAAUUAUAAUAUCUUCAAAAGCAUAAGAGAAUUGUAGGUAUAGUCACAUCUUAAGGGGGCUCUAACACUGUAGCUGACUAUGUGGCAAAGCUGUGCAGGAAUGAUAAUCCUAAUUUGUUCCUUUAUGUGUGUGGGAAUUCAUAUUCAUUCAACAAGGUAUGCAAGCAACUUCUUGGCAGUAAUAUUGUGUUGCUUAAUCUAGUUUUGUUCUUUUAAGGGGUCAUCUUGCUCAUUUUUUCUAAUGUACAAGGACCAUUUUGUUUAUUUUUCAAAUAGAGGGAUUGAAAUGCAAUUCAAGAUAUAAGAUAAUGACUUGUAUAAUAUUUUUUCCAUUGGUAAUUCAUUUUACAACUAGUGGGAUUAAUUUGUUAAUAAUUAUAUGGUAAUUCCCUGAGUAUAUAUUUUGUAAAAGAAAUAUUAAUUUACAUUUAGCUUGUCUUUUUUCUUCUUUUUAUAUAGUAAUUUGUAUCUUAGUUGAUAAGUUUUAAAUAUUAAAUAAAAGCUGAAUCUUUUAAUUGACC